GACGAACGCUGGCGGCGUGCCUAAUACAUGCAAGUCGAGCGCAGGAAGCCGACGGAACCCUUCGGGGGGAAGUCGACGGAAUGAGCGGCGGACGGGUGAGUAACACGUAAAGAACCUGCCCUCAGGUCUGGGAUAACCACGAGAAAUCGGGGCUAAUACCGGAUGGGUCAUCGGACCGCAUGGUCCGAGGAUGAAAGGCGCUCCGGCGUCGCCUGGGGAUGGCUUUGCGGUGCAUUAGCUAGUUGGUGGGGUAAUGGCCCACCAAGGCGACGAUGCAUAGCCGACCUGAGAGGGUGAUCGGCCACACUAGGACUGAGACACGGCCCAGACUCCUACGGGAGGCAGCAGUAGGGAAUCUUCCACAAUGGACGAAAGUCUGAUGGAGCAACGCCGCGUGAACGAUGAAGGCCUUCGGGUCGUAAAGUUCUGUUGUAAGGGAAGAACAAGUGCCGCAGGCAAUGGCGGCACCUUGACGGUACCUUGCGAGAAAGCCACGGCUAACUACGUGCCAGCCGCCGCAGUAAGAC
rnacentral:rRNA from 1 species